UACGGGGGGGCAAGCGUUGUUCGGAAUUACUGGGCGUAAAGGGCGCGUAGGCGGUUCGCUAAGUUGAAUGUGAAAACUCUGGGCUUAACCCAGAGCCUGCAUUCAAUACUGGCGGGCUAGAGUUCUGGAGGGGAUAGCGGAAUUCCUGGUGUAGCGGUGAAAUGCGUAGAUAUCAGGAGGAACACCGGUGGCGAAGGCGGCUAUCUGGACAGAGUCUGACGCUGAUGCGCGAAAGCUAAGGGGAGCAAACAGG
rnacentral:rRNA from 1 species